CGAACGCUGGCGGCGUGCUUACCACAUGCAAGUCGAACGGAAAGGCCUGCUUUCCCUUGUGGAUUGCGGGUACUCGAGUGGCGAACGGGUGAGUAACACGUGAGUGAUCUGCCCCCAACUUGGGUAUAAGCCUGGGAAACUGGGUCUAAUUCCCGAUAGGACUGCAGGGUGGUGCCUGUGGUGGAAAACGAUUUUCUAGUGGUUGGGGAUGAGCUCGCGGCCUAUCAGCUUGUUGGUGGGGUAAUGGCCUACCAAGGCGGCGACGGGUAGCCGGCCUGAGAGGGUGGACGGCCACAUUGGGACUGAGAUACGGCCCAGACUCCUACGGGAGGCAGCAGUGGGGAAUAGUGCACAAUGGGCGGAAGCCUGAUGCAGCGACGCCGCGUGGGGGAUGACGGCCUUCGGGUGGUAAACUCCUUUCGACCGCGAGGAAGCCACCUGGUUGGAAGGGUGGUGACGGUAGUGGUAGAAGAAGCACCGGCUAACUACGUG
rnacentral:rRNA from 1 species